GACGGGGGGUGCAAGCGUUAAUCGGAAUUACUGGGCGUAAAGCGUGCGCAGGCGGUUCUAUAAGACAGAUGUGAAAUCCCCGGGCUCAACCUGGGAACUGCAUUUGUGACUGUAGAGCUGGAGUACGGUAGAGGGGGAUGGAAUUCCGCGUGUAGCAGUGAAAUGCGUAGAUAUGCGGAGGAACACCGAUGGCGAAGGCAAUCCCCUGGACCUGUACUGACGCUCAUGCACGAAAGCGUGGGGAGCAAACAGG
rnacentral:rRNA from 1 species